rnacentral:rRNA from 1 species
GAUGAACGCUGGCGGUAUGCUUAACACAUGCAAGUCGAACGGACUCUUCGGAGUUAGUGGCGGACGGGUGAGUAACGCGUGAGAAUCUGGCUUUGGGUUCGGGACAACCACUGGAAACGGUGGCUAAUACCGGAUGUGCCGAGAGGUAAAAGAGAAAUUGCCUGAAGAUGAGCUCGCGUCUGAUUAGCUAGUUGGUGAGGUAAAGUCUCACCAAGGCAGCGAUCAGUAGCUGGUCUGAGAGGAUGACCAGCCACACUGGGACUGAGACACGGCCCAGACUACUACGGGAGGCAGAAGUGGGGAAUGUUCCGCAAUGAGCGAAAGCCUGACGGAGCAAAACCGCGUGAGGGAAGAAGGCUAUUGGGUUGUAAACCUCUUUUCUUAGGGAAGAACAAAAUGAAGGUACAUAAGGAAUAAGCACAGGAUAACUACG